GACGAACGCUGGCGGCGUGCUUAACACAUGCAAGUCGAACGGUAAGGCCCUUCGGGGUACACGAGUGGCGAACGGGUGAGUAACACGUGGGUGAUCUGCCCUGCACUUCGGGAUAAGCCUGGGAAACUGGGUCUAAUACCGGAUAGGACCACUGCCUGCAUGGGUGGUGGUGGAAAGCUUUUGCGGUGUGGGAUGGGCCCGCGGCCUAUCAGCUUGUUGGUGGGGUGAUGGCCUACCAAGGCGACGACGGGUAGCCGGCCUGAGAGGGUGACCGGCCACACUGGGACUGGGUUACGGACCAGACUCCUACGGGAGGCAGCAGUGGGGAAUAUUGCACAAUGGGCGCAAGCCUGAUGCAGCGACGCCGCGUGAGGGAUGACGGCCUUCGGGUUGUAAACCUCUUUCAGCACCGACGAAGCGCAAGUGACGGUAGGUGCAGAAGAAGGACCGGCCAACUACGUGCCAGCCGCCGCGGUAA
rnacentral:rRNA from 1 species